ACUCCUACGGGAGGCAGCAGUGGGGAAUAUUGCACAAUGGGCGCAAGCCUGAUGCAGCAACGCCGUGUGAGUGAAGAAGGUUUUCGGAUCGUAAACUCUGUCCUAAGGGAAGAAACAAAUGACGGUACCUUAGGAGGAAGCCCCGGCUAACUACGUGCCAGCAGCCGCGGUAAUACGUAGGGGGCAAGCGUUUAUCCGGAAUCACUGGGCGUAAAGGGUGCGUAGGCGGCUUAGCAAAGCCAGGGUGAAAGGCAUUGGCUCAACCAAUGUAAGCCUUUGGAACUGUUAAGCUUGAGUGCAGGAGAGGUAAGUGGAAUUCCUAGUGUAGAGGUGAAAUUCGUAGAUAUUAGGAGGAACACCAGUGGCGAAGGCGACUUACUGGACUGUAACUGACGCUGAUGCACG
rnacentral:rRNA from 1 species